rnacentral:rRNA from 1 species
GAUGAACGCUGGCGGCGUGCUUAAUACAUGUAAGUCGAACGAGGAGCUUUGCUUCGGUAAAACUCCGAGUGGCGAACGGGUGAGUAACGCGUUGGUGACCUGCCCCGAAGUGGGGGAUAACGGCUCGAAAGGGCUGCUAAUACCCCAUGUGGUCGUAGAGGUUAGAGACUCUACGUCUAAAGGCGUAAUUCGCUUCGGGAUGGGCCUGCGUCCCAUCAGCUAGUUGGUAGGGUAACGGCCUACCAAGGCGACGAUGUUUAGGGGUCCUGAGAGGGUGAUCCCCCACACUGGUACUGAGACACGGACCAGACUCCUACGGGAGGCAG